rnacentral:rRNA from 1 species
UACGUAGGGGGCAAGCGUUGUCCGGAUUCAUUGGGCGUAAAGAGCGUGUAGGCGGCCAGGUAGGUCGGUUGUGAAAACUGGAGGCUCAACCUUCAGAGGUCGACCGAAACCAUCUGGCUAGAGUCCGGGAGAGGAGAGUGGAAUUCCUGGUGUAGCGGUGAAAUGCGCAGAUAUCAGGAAGAACACCCGUGGCGAAAGCGGCUCUCUGGAACGGUACUGACACUGAGGCACGAAAGCGUGGGGAGCAAACAGG